rnacentral:tRNA from 1 species
GGAGAGAUGGCCGAGCGGCUGAAGGCGCUCCCCUGCUAAGGGAGUAUACGGUUUGUCCCGUAUCGAGGGUUCGAAUCCCUCUCUCUCCGCCA